GAUGAACGCUGGCGGCGUGCCUAAUACAUGCAAGUCGAGCGAACGGACGAGAAGCUUGCUUCUCUGAUGUUAGCGGCGGACGGGUGAGUAACACGUGGAUAACCUACCUAUAAGACUGGGAUAACUUCGGGAAACCGGAGCUAAUACCGGAUAAUAUUUUGAACCGCAUGGUUCAAAAGUGAAAGACGGUCUUGCUGUCACUUAUAGAUGGAUCCGCGCUGCAUUAGCUAGUUGGUAAGGUAACGGCUUACCAAGGCAACGAUGCAUAGCCGACCUGAGAGGGUGAUCGGCCACACUGGAACUGAGACACGGUCCAGACUCCUACGGGAGGCAACAGUAGGGAAUCUUCCGCAAUGGGCGAAAGCCUGACGGAGCAACGCCGCGUGAGUGAUGAAGGUCUUCGGUUCGUAAAACUCUGUUAUUAGGGAAGAACAUAUGUGUAAGUAACUGUGCACAUCUUGACGGUACCUAAUCAGAAAGCCACGGCUAACUACGUG
rnacentral:rRNA from 1 species